CCGCACAGCCGGGAAGUUAGCGGUGUCCUGUACCUGCAAUCCGCUAUAGCAGGGGUGAUAUUCUGCCUCGGGUGCUUUUUUGCAGAGCUGCCCCCCGUAAGUGGCGUUGAAGCUUGGGUCUUACGCAAUGGGAAUCCAUGAACCGUGUCAGGGCAGGAAUGCAGCAGCACUAAGUGGAAACUCCUGUGUGCCGUGAGGGCGCCUGGGCCGAGUUAACUGCGAGGGUAACGUCUGUGAGGAGCAUUCAAAGCAGAAUGUGCGG
rfam:Clostridium saccharolyticum-like K10 draft genome.